rnacentral:misc_RNA from 1 species
UUUCCAUAGGUGAACCUGCGGAAGGAUCAUUCAUAAUAAAGUGUUUUAUGGCACUUUUUAAAAAUCCAUAUCCACCUUGUGUGCAAUGUUAGAUCUCGUCAAUCUUGGCGAGAUUUUUAUACAUCAACUCAUUUUUUAACUAAUUUGUCUGAAAAAUAUUAUGAACACUUAAUUCAAAAUACAACUUUCAACAACGGAUCUCUUGGCUCUC